ACCGCGCCGCCCGCACCCCGCCCCAACCUGCCCCGCCGCACCCGCGUUGCCCCAACCGGGGCCGCCACAACCUAGCAACCCUGCGCGCCGCCGGUCACCUCCCUCGCGGCCACCUCCCUCCUCCCCAACGGCCGGCGCGUGACCCUCCUCCGCCACGGCCGGCGAGCCUCCUCCAGGCACCACCCUCUGAUCCAGCUGCCGCAGGGCCCCGGGAUCCCCGUGUGCUGUCGCCGGGCCAUGGAUCCCCGGCGCCGCUGCAGGGUCCUGGAUCCCGAGCGCCGUCGCCGGUCCCUGGAUCCCAUCCGCCACCGCUCAUCCAGCGCCAUGCGGAGGCUCCCCGUCCCGAGCUCUACGCGGUCCCGGGCUCCGACUACCAUCCACCGCCAUCGUUGGAUCUCGGAGGUGCCUCCUCCUCCUCCCCCUUGUGCUUCACAGCAGCCGGCGACCUACCUCCCGUGAAGUGCCGAGCACAAUCGUGAAUAAAAAUUCUCCUCUUCCUUUCCUCAUUCUGUGUACAAUGCUGGUACUAUUCUAUUUUUUGAUGAAAAUCACUGUAUUUUGAUUGAUUUCUUUUAUAGCGUGCGUUCUGAAGUUCAUG
rnacentral:rRNA from 1 species